GCGGUGGUGGUGUAAUUAAUGGUCAGCAUAGUUGCCUUCCAAGCAGUUGAUCCGGGUUCGAUUCCCGGCCACCGCA